AACUCCAAAAACCCUCGGACACUACAGAGAAACCAGGACAUGUCGCAGGCCACUUUGAUCCAGUUAUACUCCGGACCCACCUGCAGCGACCACUAUGUUUAGCGCUCCUAGUGGCAGUGACCAGUGGUCUGUGUGGCAGCGACCACAAUCUUUAGCGCCCUUAGUGGUAGCGACCAGUGGUCUGUGUGGCAGCGACCAGACCGCAGAAUUGGCUACAACUGUUGCGGUGGCAGCCCGGCUGACGGUGAGUGCCCUGUUUUUAACUCCUUUUUCUCCGCAUCCUAUUUUCUCCUGUGUCUCCUCCCCUCUCCUUCUGUGUGUGCUCUCCCUCUCUCCGCUCCGGAGCCCGGCUGACUACCCACAGCUGUCUAUCAUCAACCUCCACCUCCGACCGCCACACCUGCCAGCUAUCAGCCUCAUCUCUACCAGUAUUUCAACCCCGGCUCUCCACUCCAUCCCCGCUUGAUUGUCGCCGCUCCAGACUUGGUCCACUCACCUCUGUCUCCCAUUCGGUCAGCUGGGCUCACCUACCUGCCUUCCCCUCUUGCAUCGCCUCCACGGCUCUCCCUGGUUCCCCCUUCGCUCCUCGCCUGACCGCCAGCUACCACAUCCUUUCCUGCCUCUCGUUACUUCAUCUAAGAGACUUCUUCAGUUUUGAAUGACUGGUAGAGAAACUCAGCUAUUUAACGUCUGUGGGGUCGUUGCCAAGACACAAUUUUGUGUUUAUGGGAACGUGACGAGACGAGAUUUCAACACUUUAAGAAAUUAUCUAUGCUGAAUUAUAUGAAAAAUUUGAGCAUUAAACACACCAAUUCCUGCAUUCUGGUGAAUAUUUUUUUUAAAACAAUUUCUGCUUUUUCUGCAUCAAUUUAUGGUGAAAAUGUUUUUAUGGCUUUUUUUGUAGAGUGAAGCUGAAGACAGCGCCUGGUGUAAAGUUCUUAUAACAGCAGCAUUACACUCAAUUGGGUCAUUAAUGUGAAAUCUGCCUAAGUAAAGAAUUUUGGUUAGCUUUAUGUAUUUCUGUGCUUUUCUCACUCCAGGGCUCCAAUUUGAAUAUUUUAAAGAGGUCAUAUUA